CAGCUGUGGCCUCGUGUGCAAAACACUUUUCAACGAUGUAAAGGCUUGACACAUCAAGUUUAGGAGAAAGCAUGAAGCGAUUGUAGCCGCCAUUUCUCUUUCCCUCCUCCUCUAAUGCCAUCUGCUGUGCCAACAUCGUGUGCCAAGAGACAGACAAAGACCUUACCAACGUUUGAGUUUGGGCGCGCUCAGGAGCCAUCUUGGGAGAUUCAGCUGCGAUAUCUAAAAUGGCUGGACUGGCAUAUAAGGAAAAUAUUACUCAAAGAAAACAGGAAGGCUUACUCAAAGGACACAGUGAAUACGCUCAUGAAGAAGUUCAAGUUUGGCCGUGAACAUAGACUGUAUAAAGAACGUUUAUAUUCAGUCUAUGGCCACAAAGGAAACGAUGAGGAAUUCUGUUGUAUGAUGUAAUUGUGAUAAACCCGGUUAGAGAGCCGUUUUAAAAUAUCCUUUUGACUUGUUUGUUCUGUAAAAUGUUUAGACCCACAUUUUAUACUUGGAUGUACCUAUUUAUUGUAUCAUUUGAC